rnacentral:lncRNA from 1 species
UUCUUUUUUUGUACUUGUAUCUUGAAUCCUGUUUUUCUUAAUCCUUUUCCGAAAAGAAAGCCUUUCCCCCUUUUGAUUGGAUUUGAUCCACCCCUUCGAUUGAUUGUAUAGUAUCUCUCUUCAACCUGCUCAUGGCUAGAUCGAUCGGUUUCGGGUCAAAUAGGAAGAACUAGAAGAUUCCACCUCUGGAAAGCGCCUACACCUAAUGGCUUAAGC